rnacentral:lncRNA from 1 species
GGAUCGAACCCAGGGCCUCACACAUGCUAGGUGAGCACUCUACUGCUGAGCUACAAUCCCAGCCCAGUUAGCAGUACUUUUCAAACUAAUCUUCAGUGCUAAUCCAGGUAGCACUAUUUCAUAUUUGAGCCUACUAAUAAACUUACAGAUAAUCAGUUUCAUAGUUUUUCAUAUUUAUAAAUUAUUCAUAUUCACAAGCUAAAGUUUCUUUUGUUACCAAAUUGUUAUUAAAAUAUGACUUGAUUUGAUUUCCCCUAGUUUUAGAGAUGGUAUGACUUAAAAUAUUGGUUGUAAUUAAUUGUCUAUUUUAAAAAAGCUAGAGAGGUUUAUAAUUGUACCCAACACAAAGAAGUAAUAAUUGUUUAAGGUGAUAGAUACACCAGUUACCUUGAUUUGAUCAUGAUAUUAUAUAAAUGUAUUGAAAUAUCACACUGUACCCCAGUUACUAUAUGUUGAUUAAAUGUAUUAAAAAAUAAUAUCUAAGUCACAUGGUAUAAUAUUGUCCCAAAAAGGCUAGAUACAAAGUGUAAAUACUGCUGGGCACAGUGGAACAUGCCUAUAAUCCCAGUGAUUUGGGAGGCUGAGGCAGGAGCCUCAAGCGAGUUCUAGGCCGGCCUCACCAUCUUAGUGAGACCCUGUCUCAAAAUGAAAAAGGGCUGGGGAUGCAACUCAGUAGUUAAAUGCCCCUGGGUUCAAUCCCCAGUACCAAAAAUAAAUAAAUACCCCCCAAACACCAAAGCCCCCCAAUGAAAAAGUAAAUGGUUGAAUGAAUGGUUAUAUGUGUGUAAAACUUUUUAAAACAAAAGGAAUUGCCAUGAUAGAAGUAAAAAAAUAGCAGUUACCUUUAGGGGUAUUAUCAGCUGGCACAUAGUGGGGGACAGUACAAGGGAACCUGCCCAUGUACUGGAAAUGGUUUUUAUGUGUUGGUGGUAGUUACGUGGGUAUAUACAUAUUAAAAACUUGAUCACGCUUUAUACUUAGGAUUUUUUAAAAAUUUUUUUAUUGU